rnacentral:lncRNA from 1 species
UAUUUGGAUUAUGUUCCUAGAUGCUGAGAAUUCCUACAUUGGAAGGAACGUUGGAAUAAGAAACUGGUGGUCUCACCCUUGCCUUGGCCCCCAUCAGCUGUGUGACCCUGGGUACUUACUGAGGCAAGCGGGAUAGUGCUACCAUCUUGAUCCGAACACAGAGCACACUUUUGGAGCUCGUCUUUGGAAAUGGUCUUGGGAGACUUGCUCCAUUCCUUUGCAUGCCAUCACUGGUGAGUCUUCAUUCUUGAAGGAUGUAUUUGAUUUGAAGAAGGGCCAAAUUUAAUAAGAACCUCAAUCUAGAAUGAUACGUGAUUUGGCAGAGAAUUAUUGUUUUGGGUAGAAAUAAUUAUAAAACCUUUUUUCUCUUCUAACAUUUUUCUGACUGACAUCACAAAGUCUACGAUUUUGAGUUUUGGAAACAUUUGGAGAAAUAAUGAAAGGCAUUCCUAAAGAACUUCAUGCUGAAUGCCAUUUGGACAAUCUAAACUCAGUCCUGAAUUUGGAGUAUCAAUAUCAUCUAUUCAGGGACUAUUAAAAACAUGGUAUUUCAAGCCAAUAAAAUAGAAUACUAACAUUAGUGCAAUACUUUUGACUUUUCAGAGGGCCCUUGGAGCUCAUGUUUAGUGGUUACCAAGUUCCAAUGAAGCAAUAUUUGAUCACAAAGAUGUUUAACCCCUUUGGAUAUAAAGAAAGCCGCUUAAACUGAUGUUUAAUCCUCUGACUGGAUGA